rnacentral:rRNA from 1 species
UACGUAGGGUGCGAGCGUUGUCCGGAUUUAUUGGGCGUAAAGAGCUUGUAGGCGGCUCGUCACGUCGGGUGUGAAAACUCGCGGCUCAACCGCGAGCCUGCACCCGAUACGGGCGGGCUAGAGUUCGGCAGGGGAGACUGGAAUUCCUGGUGUAGCGGUGGAAUGCGCAGAUAUCAGGAGGAACACCGGUGGCGAAGGCGGGUCUCUGGGCCGAUACUGACGCUGAGGAGCGAAAGCGUGGGGAGCGAACAGG